rnacentral:tRNA from 1 species
UCGGCGCGGUCGCGGUCGGCACCGCCGUCGCGCUGAAGUCGCGGCAGCAGGAGCCGCCGGUCGCGCCGGCUCCGCCGAA